rnacentral:rRNA from 1 species
AGUGAACGCUGGCGGUAGGCCUAACACAUGCAAGUCGAACGGCAGCACAGGAGAGCUUGCUCUCUGGGUGGCGAGUGGCGGACGGGUGAGGAAUACAUCGGAAUCUACUUUUUCGUGGGGGAUAACGUAGGGAAACUUACGCUAAUACCGCAUACGACCUACGGGUGAAAGCAGGGGAUCUUCGGACCUUGCGCGAUUGAAUGAGCCGAUGUCGGAUUAGCUAGUUGGCGGGGUAAAGGCCCACCAAGGCGGCGAUCCGUAGCUGGUCUGAGAGGAGGAUCAACCACACUGGACCUGAGACACGUGCCAGACUCCUACGGGAGGCAGCAGUGGGGAAUAUUGGACAAUGGGCGCAAGCCUGAUCCAGCCAUACCGCGUGGGUGAAGAAGGCCUUCGGGUUGUAAAGCCCUUUUGUUGGGAAAGAAAUCCAGCUGGUUAAUACCCGGUUGGGAUGACGGUACCCAAAGAAUAAGCACCGGCUAACUUCGUGCCAGCCGCCGCCGUAA